AAGUAAGACUUUUUAAGACUUUUUAAGGACCCGCGGGAACCAUGUAGAAGUACAAUUACUAACUAAUUUCUGACAUGAUAGGGCUUUCCACGGCAAAAGUACGGCAUCGACAGUGGCAUCUUCAUGUUGAUGUAUGCCCUUUACAAAGUGAUGGAUGCACCCUCUGACUUCACUGUUACUGAUAUGCCGGCAUUGAGAAAAUGGUUGUGUAUCAUGCUGAUCGAAAACCUUGGAAGCCAUGGGAAACUCUUUGUCCACUGGACCGACGCAUCUAAGGCUCU